CACGCAGGCGGUCAGCCAAGUUCGGAGUGACAGUUUCCGGCUUAACUGGGAAAGGUCUUCGAAAACUGGUGGACUUGAGAACUUGAGGGGGAGACGGAAUUCCGGGUGGAGCGGUGAAAUGCGUAGAGAUCCGGAGGAACACCGAAAGCGAAGGCAGUCUCCUGGCAAGUUUCUGACGCUCAGGUGCGAAAGCUAGGGGAGCGAACA
rnacentral:rRNA from 1 species